rnacentral:rRNA from 18 species
GACGGAAAGACCCCAUGAACCUUUACUAUAGCUUAGCAUUGGGAUUGUAUAUAUAAUGUGUAGGAUAGGCGGGAGACUAUGAAGCGGUGUCGCUAGGCAUUGUGGAGUCGCUGUUGAAAUACCGCCCUUUAUCUAUUUGAUUCCUAAUCCGGCAACGGAGACAUUGCUUGGUGGGUAGUUUGACUGGGGUGGUCGCCUCCAAAAGAGUAACGGAGGCUUUCAAAGGUACCCUCAGCACGUUCGGUAACCGUGCGUAGAGCGCAAUAGCAUAAGGGUGCUUGACUGUGAGACAAACAAGUCGAUCAGGGUCGAAAGACGGAUAUAGUGAUCCGGUGGUUCUGUAUGGAAGGGCC